rnacentral:lncRNA from 1 species
CAUCUCAAGAACCCACCUUCUGUGCCCUCUGAUAAACUGACUCAUGUAUACACUGCCAUCUUGAAACCUGAUAAUGAGUUGAGAAUUUUAAUUGAUGGAGAGGAGAAGCAGAAGGCAAAUUUCCUCGCUGCUGAUGAUUUUCAGCCACCGCUCAUUCCUGAGAAGACAAUUCCUGAUCCAGAUGACAAGAAGCCUGAGGAUUGGGAUGAGAGGGCAAAGAUUCCUGACCCUGAUGCAGUAAAACCUGACGACUGGGAUGAGGAUGCUCCGAUGGAAAUUGAAGAUGAGGAUGCUGUGAAACCUGAAGGAUGGCUGGAUGAUGAGCCUGAGGAGAUAGAUGACCCUGAGGCCACAAAACCUGAGGAUUGGGAUGAUGAGGAGGAUGGUGAAUGGGAGGCCCCAAAGAUUGAUAACCCAAAGUGUGAAGCAGCCCCUGGAUGCGGCGAGUGGAAGAGGCCAAUGAAGAGGAAUCCUGCCUACAAGGGCAAAUGGCAUGCUCCACUUAUU